CCUACGGGUGGUAGCAGUGGGGAAUAUUGGACAAUGGGCGAAAGCCUGAUCCAGCCAUGCCGCGUGUGUGAAGAAGGCCUUCGGGUUGUAAAGCACUUUCAGUGGGGAAGAAAGCCUUGGGGCUAAUACCCUCGAGGAAGGACAUCACCCACAGAAGAAGCACCGGCUAACUCCGUGCCAGCAGCCGCGGUAAUACGGAGGGUGCGGGGUUAAUCGGAAUUACUGGGCGUAAAGCGCGCGUAGGCGGUCUGAUAAGCCGGUUGUGAAAGCCCCGGGCUCAACCUGGGAACGGCAUCCGGAACUGUCAGGCUAGAGUGCAGGAGAGGAAGGUAGAAUUCCCGGUGUAGCGGUGAAAUGCGUAGAGAUCGGGAGGAAUACCAGUGGCGAAGGCGGCCUUCUGGACUGACACUGACGCUGAGGUGCGAAAGCGUGGGUAGCAAACAGGAUUAGAUACCCCAGUAGUC
rnacentral:rRNA from 1 species